AUGGAUGUUCUUCAUAGUCUGAUUAGAAUUGUUUUCCAGUGCAGAACAAUGCCAAAGAAAAUACCAAAUAUGUAGCAACAGCUCUUUGACGCUCCACCAGAACCUUAAGGUGUUGGGAAUGGAGAGGAAGAGUGACAGUCCAGAUUCUGGAAAGACAAGCUCUCUCUUUGAAGACCCAAGAAUGGAGCCAACUCCUUUGGUGAUAAGUGAACCAAGUUAACAAGAAGAUGGACACGAGCUAUAGAGAAUGAAGAGCAGAAAGUGCACUGUACUCUAAGACAAAAGACUGGAAAUUUCCUCAAGCAGGGACAGCUAGAUCUGCUUGCCCAAGACCAUGUCCAGGCAGCUGUUGAAGAUCUCCAAGGAGGGAGACUCCACAGCCUCUCUGGACAGCAUGUGACAGUGCUCCAUCACUGCUUGUGGCAUUUCUGAGUUUUCUUAAAGAUUCCUACUGUGGAAACUGCCAGAAGAAUUGAGCAGCAAAGAGAAGGGGAGAAAUCUUCCUGAUCACAGAUCCUUAGCAAGCUGGAGCAACACUUAAAGAUUUUACAAUUCCUGACACAUUUAAAAUACUGUGGAUCUGACAUAGCUUGACACCAUAAAUUCAUAGUGAUUUCCUGCUAUAACUGUAGAAAAAAUCAUGAAGACUUUGGUUUUGACUAAAUUAGAUCUGCUUAAUAAUGAUCACUAUUUUACUGCCAUGCUUACUUCUGAUAUUUCAGCUUCUGUGUAGCUUCAAUGAACUGUCAUAUUGAAAUCAAUUAAAUUUUUAUCCCUCCUUUGGCACCAAUUAAAACAAACAAACAUAACACUAUUAAAAACAACAAUGAAAUUAUUCUUCAGAAAUAAAACAGUGUCUAUCUUUUAGAAGAUUUGGGGUUUACUUUCCUGAAAUGCAGAUUUUUUUAACCAAAAGCUUACUGAAGUGAAGAUCAAUAUAGCUAAUAAUCCACCUCAAAACAGUGAAUAUUUUAAGGUUCUGCAUCUUGCUAACCACUGGGAUUUGAAGUAUCUUAUUCCAAUAAAGCCAGUUUCAUAAAUGUA